GAGUUUGAUCGUGGCUCAGAUUGAACGCUGGCGGCAUGCCUUACACAUGCAAGUCGAACGGCAGCAUGAUCUAGCUUGCUAGAUUGAUGGCGAGUGGCGAACGGGUGAGUAAUACAUCGGAACGUGCCCUGUAGUGGGGGAUAACUAGUCGAAAGAUUAGCUAAUACCGCAUACGACCUGAGGGUGAAAGUGGGGGACCGCAAGGCCUCAUGCUAUAGGAGCGGCCGAUGUCUGAUUAGCUAGCUGGUGGGGUAAAGGCCCACCAAGGCGACGAUCAGUAGCUGGUCUGAGAGGACGAUCAGCCACACUGGGACUGAGACACGGCCCAGACUCCUACGGGAGGCAGCAGUGGGGAAUUUUGGACAAUGGGCGAAAGCCUGAUCCAGCAAUGCCGCGUGUGUGAAGAAGGCCUCGGUUGUAAG
rnacentral:rRNA from 1 species